AAGUCGUAACAAGGUUUCCGUAGGUGAACCUGCGGAAGGAUCAUUAACGAGAGUGGGACCCCGCGUCCCCCCGGGGCUCCGGCCCCGACUCUUCACCCUGUGCGUACCUACUUUUGUUGCUUUGGCGGGCCGUCGUUCGCGCCGCUGCUCCCCCGGGGCUGAUCCCCGGGCGCCGCGUGUGCCCGCCGGAGGUCCACUAAAAUCCGUCAUCAGUGCCGUCUGAGGAGAAAUUCAAUAACUAAAACUUUCAACAACGGAUCUCUUGGUUCUG
rnacentral:misc_RNA from 1 species